AUUUUCUUUUCUUCGAAGAAAAUACGCGCCGGAAUUCGCCUACAGGCUUCGUAAAAUGGCUUAGAACGACCGUACACACGGUGGUUUGUGAUUACCCUUUAAAGAGUAAAAAAAUACUCAUUUUCAAAUAGCAUAGAUAUCUGUCAUAAAAAGGGUAAAUUCAGGAUUCCAAAACGGGUAAAUAAACACCCAUUAUUGUGAAGCCCAUGCAGAUUAAAAAUGCGUGUUUUUUUACCCAUUUAUGGGUGAAAAAAAUAGUUGGUCAUCAAUUCAUAGCAUGAAGCUGGUGUUAUUCGUUGUAAAAGUAUUUUGUUUAAAUUGUUCUGGUUUAACUUUUAGUAUAUUUGUUUAUACGGCAUUCAAAAAAGCGGUAAGUUUUACAGCAUUGUCGACUUGAAUUUGUAUUGAUCGCAAAGCAUUAUUAUAUUACAGAUUUGUCUAUUGUUUCUGUAGGCUGCAGUCGAUAUCUGGUUCCAGCAAGUAUUGGCAUAGAGGAGCAAUAGCAUGAGGGAAAACGAAAUAAAUUAAGUAUUAAAUUGGAUAAGUAUGUCAAAUACUAUAGUACAAACGAUUGUUUUCGAUCGUUUCAUUUCAAAGAUUCCGAUUUCAGUUGAGGUUAUAAUUAUUUAUUAUCAUCAUCCACAAAAUGGGUAAAUUUUUACCCUUUUUCGGCUGCGAGCGCGGUUUGCAAAGCGGGUUGUCUCGUUGUUCCUGCCACCUUGCCUGUAGCUGACAUGUCGCUGGUCGAAAGGAAGUAGCUGUUGGUGCAGAAACAAAAUAUCUUUAUAUAUUAAUACAUUUAUCAAGCGUAUUGUAUUAAUACAAUUAAUUGUGUUAAUAAAAACUAUUAUUUCGAUUUCUAUAUUUAUUUA